rnacentral:rRNA from 1 species
UUGGAGGGCAGUCUGGUGCCAGCAGCCGCGGUAAUUCCAGCUCCAAUAGCGUAUAUUGAAGUUGUUGCAGUUAAAAAGCUCGUAGUUGAAUUUCGGGAUCAGAGUGUCGGUCGUGCCUCGGUACGCACUGGUAUUAUUGGUUCCUACCUUCUGAAGAACCGCGAUGUCAUUAAUUUGGUGUCGUGGGGAAUCAGGACCGUUACUUUGAAAAAAUUAGAGUGUUUAAAGCAGGCUUACGCUUGAAUACAUUAGCAUGGAAUAAUGAAAUAGGACGUUUGAUUCUAUUUUGUUGGUUUCUAGGAUUGACGUAAUGAUUAAUAGGGAUAGUUGGGGGCAUUAGUAUUCAAUUGUCAGAGGUGAAAUUCUUGGAUUUAUUGAAGACUAACUACUGCGAAAGCAUUUGCCAAGGAUGUUUUCAUUAAUCAAGAACGAAAGUUAGGGGAUCGAAGACGAUCAGAUACCGUCGUAGUCUUAACCAUAAACUAUGCCGACUAGGGAUCGGAUGAUGUUAAUUUUUUAAUGACUCAUUCGGCGCCUUACGGGAAAC